rnacentral:rRNA from 1 species
GGGCCAACCUCCACCCGUGUUGCCCGAACCUAUGUUGCCUCGGCGGGCCCCGCGCCCGCCGACGGCCCCCCUGAACGCUGUCUGAAGUUGCAGUCUGAGACCUAUAACGAAAUUAGUUAAAACUUUCAACAACGGAUCUCUUGGUUCCGGCAUCGAUGAAGAACGCAGCGAAAUGCGAUAACUAAUGUGAAUUGCAGAAUUCAGUGAAUCAUCGAGUCUUUGAACGCACAUUGCGCCCUCUGGUAUUCCGGAGGGCAUGCCUGUCCGAGCGUCAUUGCUGCCCUCAAGCCCGGCUUGUGUGUUGGGCCCCGUCCCCCCCGCCGGGGGGACGGGCCCGAAAGGCAGCGGCGGCACCGCGUCCGGUCCUCGAGCGUAUGGGGCUUCGUCACCCGCUCUAGUAGGCCCGGCCGGCGCCAGCCGACCCCCAACCUUUAAUUAUCUCAGGUUGACCUCGGAUCAGGUAGGGAUACCCGCUGAACUUAAGCAUAUCAUAA